AUGAAGGCCUUCGGGUUGUAAACUGCUUUUAUCUGUGACCGAUUAUGACGGUAGCAGAUGAAUAAGGAUCCGGCUAACUCCGUGC
rnacentral:rRNA from 1 species